GCUGGAGAGGCAAACAGGAAGGACUGCCCCCUGAGCGCCAGGCUUCGGGCCCGGGAAUCGCCGCCGCCGCCGCAGAGCUGCAGCUCGGGGCCGAGGCAGGGCCUCGAGGACGGCCCCGGCGCGAGCCUGGCACUGCGCAUCCUGGCGGCUCGGCUGCCGGAUUCCGGCGUCUACGUGUGCCACGCCCGCAACGCGCACGGCCACGCGCAGGCGGGGGCGCUGCUCCAGGUGCACCAGCCCCCCGAGAGCCCGCCCGCGGACCCCGACGAGGCCCCCGCGCCGGUGGUGGAGCCGCUCAAGUGCGCGCCUAAGACCUUCUGGGUGAACGAGGGCAAGCACGCCAAGUUCCGCUGCUACGUGAUGGGCAAGCCCGAGCCCGAGAUCGAAUGGCACUGGGAGGGCCGCCCGCUGCUCCCGGACCGCCGCCGCCUCAUGUACCGCGACCGCGACGGCGGCUUCGUGCUCAAGGUGCUCUACUGCCAGGCCAAGGACCGUGGGCUCUACGUCUGCGCCGCGCGCAACUCGGCGGGCCAGACGCUCAGUGCCGUGCAGCUGCACGUGAAAG
rnacentral:sRNA from 1 species